rnacentral:tRNA from 1 species
AAAAGAUUAGUUAAAAUAUAACAUUAGUUCGUCAUACUAAAAUUAUUAAUAAUUAAUAUCUUUUU